rnacentral:lncRNA from 1 species
CACCCUCACUCUUCAAUCUCCCUCUCUAGUCUUUCACUCUCACCCAGUCUCUCCCUCAAUAGCUCCGAUUAGGGUUCAAACAUUAGAUCUCCCUCACUAGCUUCAUAUAUUGUCUCCGAAUGGUAAUUGAAUACACAAGCACACACAAUUUCUCCAAUUAGGGUUACUAACUUUCGAAUUUUCUCAAUUUGCAGGCUGGUUAGGGUUUCAUAAAUUGGGGCUUUUGUUUAUAAG